rnacentral:rRNA from 1 species
ACUCCUACGGGAGGCAGCAGUGGGGAAUCUUGGACAAUGGGGGCAACCCUGAUCCAGCCAUGCCGCGUGAGUGAUGAAGGCCUUAGGGUCGUAAAGCUCUUUUGCCUGUGAUGAUAAUGACAGUAGCAGGUAAAGAAACCCCGGCUAACUCCGUGCCAGCAGCCGCGGUAAUACGGAGGGGUUAGCGUUGUUCGGAAUUACUGGGGCGUAAAGCGCGCGUAGGCGGAUUAGUAAGUCAGAGGUGAAAUCCCGGGGCUCAACCCCGGAACUGCCUUUGAUACUGCUAGUCUUGAGUUCGAGAGAGGUGAGUGGAAUUCCGAGUGUAGAGGUGAAAUUCGUAGAUAUUCGGAGGAACACCAGUGGCGAAGGCGGCUCACUGGCUCGAUACUGACGCUGAGGUGCGAAAGUGUGGGGAGCAAACAGGAUUAGAUACCCUGGUAGGAUAGCG